rnacentral:rRNA from 1 species
AUUGAACGCUAGCGGGAUGCUUUACACAUGCAUGUCGAACGAGUGGCGGACGGGUGAGUAAUAUAUCGGAACGCUACCAGUAGCGGGGGAUCACUACUCGAAAAAGUGGCUAAUACCGCAUACUCUUGGAGCGGCCGAUAUCGGAUUAGCUAGGUGGUGGGGUAAAGGCGCACCAAGGCAACGAUCCGUAGCUGGUUUGGGAGGACGACCGGCAACACUGGGACUGAGGCACAGCCCGGAAUCCUACGUGAGGCAGCAGUGGGGAAUUUUGGACAAUGGGGGAAACCCUGAUCCAGCCAUCCCGCGUGUAUGAGAAGGCCUUCGGGUUGUGAAGUGCUUUUGGCAGAGAAGCGGUAUCUGCAGAAUGAGGACCGGCUCACUACGUGCCAGCAGCCGCGGUAAUUC